rnacentral:misc_RNA from 1 species
GUACUCUCACACUCUCCGAUCCUCUGGAUUUGGGGAGCGGUGGACUUGGGUCUUGCUGCUUUCCUGGUGGCUCACCUCAAAUGCGUCAGUGCAUCUCUUGAUUGGACAUAGUACGGCGUGAUAAGUGUCUUCGCCGGCGCCUCAUUAUUAGAGGGUGGCCGAUUGGGAGCUCUGUGCUUUCAAACCGUCUUCGGACACUGUCUGACA